rnacentral:lncRNA from 1 species
CACUUGGUCACUCGAAUUCGGUUCAUCACGUGCUCAAAGUAUUACCAUAAUAACUAAAAUCAUAUAUUUACAACGAAAGAUCUAAUUUAGAAUAAUAUACAAUGUUUUAUUAUAAAUAUUCCCCCAAGUCUCGCAACCUACAGUGCUUAAUAGAUUACAUAAUAAUAUCGAAUAAAGACUUAUUACAUAAUCCUACUUAAGCUUAAACAUAGUCCAAAAAUAGUCUUAAUGCAACAUAAUAAAUUUAAACAUAAAAGGGACAAGCUAGUCGGUAGCCUUGCCCUUGCCCUUGCCCUUGCCCUUGUCUUUCCCAGAUACACCUCCCUGUUCCGCCUUAACUGAGAGGUUUUAAAUAAGCAAGAAUGAGCACAAAUUGCCCAGCAAGUAAUAUACAACAAGGGUAAAGGGUUUUAUAACACAAGUUUGAAAUAUCGAAGUAUCCCUUCUAAGAUAGUUCAGGGUUUCAGAAUAACAUCAUGAAUAAUGAAUAUUAACAAUUCUUGGAAUAAGAACGAUAAUUCAAUAUAAAUCAACAGAUAUAUAUGAAUUCAAAGGCUAUCAAGGUAUUCGACUGGAUCACAAUUUAUACUGAGCAAUCACUAAGGACUAUUGAAUAUCUACUAGAAUUACCAAUAUUAAACUGAUAACCCAAAAGAAUCAAUUAUUAUAGAUGAUUAGUCUACAAUACUCUAAGUUAUGCAUAACACAACAGUAAUAAUCUACUCAUGUGUUGGGGUUUCCAACAACAUACACUCCCCUUACCAUAAGGGUUGUUCAACUCAGUUUUCAAGAUUUUCGCACCAAUCAAUUGGUUUGGACAGUUUUAUAAACAUGCUUAUAGUCUAGCCGAAUCAAAUAGCAUAGACACUUUCACAGUAUUCGAGAACAAUACUAAGUUCGACAUGAAUAAUAGUUUUCACAAUAGUUUUAGACAUACUAGCUCAAUGAAACGAAUAAAUAGGAUAACUUGCAUUCAAUGAGAUAAGCUUACGAUAUUCGUUGAAUAAAGUAACGCAAGAGUUAGAAUACUUGCACAAUGUAAAGUAAAGUUCGGGUACAUGCUCAAUAUAGAUUUGAGUAAGGUUAGAGAACUUGCUCAAUAAUAAUUGGAGUAAGUUGAGGGAACUUGCCUUACGCGUAGUUUAUCCACAUUAAGAAAUCAACACUUUUGAAUCCUAUUUAUAACGUAUUAUAUGUUCAAGAGGUUCAUUAGCUAACAUAGUCUUUAAUCCAGCUUGACGUGAUUCAAGUAUGCACAUAUGGUACAAAAAUCAGUUUAAACGUCAUCACAAGUUCAACUCACGUAUCUUUGUUUUGAUAUUUAUACAAACAUCCUUUUGGACUUAUCAUUCGAAAGUUAUGAAUAAUAUUUAUUUCUAUCACAUGGCAUGUUCCUUAUCACAUUACGUAGCAUGUUGAUCAUAUAUUACACGUUAAAGAAAUCAUACAGGCAUGCGUCAAACAUCAGUCCAAAAAUAGAACCCAUAUGUGACUGCUGCACGGCGCAGCUGGGCCAUGGCUAAGCCUAGGACCGGUGCAGUUGCGCCGUCCCCUGGCUAAGCCUAGACUCAACUGCUGUCUUAUGGCUUCCGUCCGGCUUGACCAAAACAAUCACACAUGUUAUAUUUGUUAUGUUAAAGGUCUUUUCAUGCUUCUUAAGUCAACCUAGGUUCCUUCUUUCAUAAAAUGAUUCUAAAUUGAUUAUUUCAAUAAUUUAAGGCCAUUCAAGGUCAUAAAACCAAAAAGUCUAUCAUGCUUGCUCUCUAAACAUACAAGGUAUUUAUAAAACCCAUAUUAGGCAUGUUUGUGAGUAUUCAUAACACAUAUGUGGAACUAACACUGAUUUAGUUAAAAACAUGCUUCGUUCAUGCUUUAUUUGAAAGGUAAUACACAAGCAUGGUAUAUAUACAUUUAUACUACAUGAGUGAGUCUAAGAGUAACAUCAAAUGCGAUCACAGAAGUCAGAUUCUAAUCCUUAAGGUAGUAUGUUCGAAAUUCGUAAUUUCAUUCAUAAAGCUUACUAAUUAGUUCCACAUGUCGAUGUUUGCUUACUAACCUCAUAAACACCAUCUAAAGGCUUAUUAAUGCAUUUCUAAGUCAUACUAACAUGCUUGCAAAGUCAGUAUAUAUACAUGGCAUACAUACACAAUAAGUUUGUUCCUAGGUCCCUAAAUUUAUGUUAAAUUCUACACUUUCGUUAAUCAUGCCAAUCUAGUCUAAACAUGCUCACAUUGGUUCAUAUAUCUAUAUAUACCCCUUACACAUGUUUGCAUGCUAGCAUAUGUCACAAUGAUUGACUAACGCUUGGCAUAUUUCAAAACAGAACUCAAAACAAAAUUCAGUGGGAGGCGCAGCUCAGUAUAAAUACGGCGCAGCUGCGCCGUGUCUAGUUCAAACCAGUAGCAGUUUGCUUCGGCAGAUUGCUAGCCCAACCACAAAAUUUACUCAUGAAAUCAUUCCUAAACACUCAUGUAUCAGUUUAAACAUGUUUGUAAGGUUAUAUAACAACUAUAUAAUCAAUACCCAACCUUAUUAACAUCCAAUUUCACAAAAUCAAGAAUUUGGAUUUCAAGAACUCAAACUCUAUUUUGUACAGAGAAUGAAAUGGAAGCAAGGAAAAGAACUUAUACCUCUACAAAUGUGAAUUAGCUUGCUCCUAAUGAACUCCCAAUGUCCUAGAAUACUUGAAUGCUCUCCAUCUCACACCUUGAUAAUUCUCAGCACUUGGAAAAAUGGAAAGAGAGCUCAUACUUAUAGGAAUUGUGACACCCCCAAAUCUGGGUACUUCAUUUCCACCGAAUUUGGUGCUCACUAUCAAAAUAAUUACAUCUAACUACCCAUAAUAAAGGAUAAAACAUUAAAUAAAUAACUUAAACAAUAAUCUCUCCCAUUAAAGGGUUACAUCAUAAUCUUAACAUAAAUCCCAGGUAAUAUACCUUAAAAUUAUUACAUCAGUUUGCAUAAUACAUUAUAAAAUAAAACAAGUCAUAAAACUUCAAGCAUUUAAAUAAACUUUAUCUAAUUCUCCAUCACUUAGACAUCUUGCCCUUUCCCUUGCUAGUAGAUGGAUCAUCACCUCUUUCAACUUUAGCUGCAUUAUUUAAUUGCAAGAGUGAGCAAACAAUUGCUCACUGACAUAAAGAUAGUAUAAUAACAACAUGAGAGUGAACAACGAAUACUGAAUAAUAAAGGACUUGUUCUACGAAUCAAAAUAGAAAAUAAGUUCGAACUUAAUUAUUUGAGGGUCUUAAGACCACGAACUAUGUCCACGGUAUUUAGGUGUUAUUACCUUAACCUUAACAGUCAUUAGACUGUACAGACUCUUCUUAACGUACUCAGGAGGAUCAGCCCUUUGUACCAUGUAUUGUGCACAAACAUCUAAACGUUACACGUACAAAAUCCCCUAUGUUAGAGUUGUUCGUCUCAGUUUGAAUUUAGAAUUUUCGCACUAAAGAAAGUUUAGUUUGAAACUAGCUUAUCAGUGUUUCUAGAAUUUUAGAACACUUAUUUAAUUUUCAUAAAUAAAGAUUUAAUACAAGAAUGUAUAACUGAACAAGGCUAUCAAAGUCAAAGAUCGGAUAUCAACCAUAUAUAACUGAAUAAGCUUGAUAUAUAUGCAAAGUAUUAUAUUCAAGAAAUUAAAACAAUCUCCUUUGAAUCAAUGUGUUAGAACAAUAUAUGUUUUGAAUAAUAAUAACAAGAAAUGAGAAUGUGAAACUUAUUCGAUGUAACGAAUUAGGUUACAUGAGCUUAUUCAAUCGUUCAUCAGAAUAGAAUCAAUAGUCUUGCUCAAUGACAAAUAUAAGAUUUAGAAACUUGCAAAAUUAUUAUAAGAGUAGGGUUAAAGAACUUGCCUUGUUUGUAAGUUACACAAAUGUAAAACAAUCUCCAAUUACCCUACAUUUAUCAUUGAAAUCGCAACAAUAAUUAGUUAUAUGAAUAUUAGCUUUCGGGUUUAAACCAUCAUUUAGGUCAUAACCUUAACUUAGCAUCUAACCAUAUAGGUUAACACACUUAACGAAUCUGAAAUCUCACUUCGAGCCAACAUAACUUAAUCAUUCACCUCUAACUUUGAAAACACCACAUUUGGUUUCAUUUUAUAACUUAUUUAACAAUUAUUUAAAAAUCUUUUACACUUUGUAUUACAAUGCAUGACAACCCGUUAUUGUAGUCUAUAUUAUGUCUCGACAUCAUUAACGUGCAUACUAGACUAACAUAAGUCCGAUACACAUAACCUGCAAUUAGGCAGAAGUCACUGCCUGGGCUCAGGGCACGGUGCAACUGCGCUGUCCCUUGCCUUGGCACCGGCGCAGCUGCGCUGGUGCUCGACUGCAGAAAACCCAAUGGCGCAGCUGCGCUUGGCACUGGGUUUUUUGCCUUGGCACCAGCGCAGCUGCGCUAGUGCACAGACAGACGCAGACUCGGCAUGAACAGUAGCCAUUUUUAGCCCAACUAACACGAAUUUCACCCACCAAACAGUGAAAUUAACAUCUAAAAUUGGUACAUACUAUUACAAACAUGAUUACUAACAUUUACAACCAAUUAACACAAUUUAUCAUCAACUAAAACUAGUUUAAUUUCUCAAAAAUUCCAUAUUUUCAUAUAAAACUCCAUUUUUGAACUUCUUCCACAAAAAUCGCCACUGACAUCUCAAAACUUGGCCAAAACACUUAAUUCAAAUUACGUUAUGAUCGUUUCUUAAUAAGCUAGCAUAAACAAGACUCAAUUUAUAAUUUAGCAUACAAAUUGGCCACUAAAAUUGGUACUAUUCACAAGCCAUAUGGAAAAAAUAUACAUUAUCAUACUUUUCUUCCUUUUUAAACUGUAAUUAGCAUACGAAUUCUUGCUUUUCAUACAAACUCAAACAUCAUAACUAUAUAUAAUCAUCAUACACAGGUUACAUAACAACAAUUUACAGAAACUAGAAUUCACAGAGUUUGAAAGCUUCACAAUUUUGCCGUAAAACCUAUAUAUAUAUAUAUAUAUAUAUAUAUAUAUAUAUAUAUAUAUAUAUACACACACACACACACACAAUAUCAAAUUAUAGAGAAUUACCUUCUUAUGCUUAGACAAUCCUUGCUAACCAACUGAAAUUGCUGUGAAUUUCUUAGGUUUCCUCUCAAUCUCCUCUCCUCUGUGUUUUCUGUAUUGUCUAGCCUUAGGAAAACAAAUAAGACGCGUAUGAAAAAUAUAAACUGACUCCCACUAACGUCAUGUACAAAACCAAUAGGUAGCGUCAGUUGAAAAAAUCAAAGGCCACAAGGCCAUGUUUGGCUAACCAUUUAUUUCCCAACCAAAUUAUUAUUAUAAUAUUAUAUUAUAUAGUUUCCACUUGUCAUACUUUAUUUAAAUAAUUUUAGUUUAACUAAUUUAAAUAACUAAUAAUAAUAAUAAAAACCUUAUUAUCGUUAUACUUAUAAUUAAUAAAUAAUUAUAUAUAUCUAAUUUAAUUAAUAAAUUAGAAACAUCACUUUAUUUAUUUUAUUUGUUUCCAUUAAAUUAAACAAUUCAUUUAAUUUAAUUAUUUUCUUAAAUAUUAAGCAAUUGAUUUAAUUUAAUUACUUCCUUAAAUUAAAUCCAUUAGAUAAAAUUAUCAUUAUUCAAAUUAAUACUAAUUAAUUUAGUUACCAAAUUAAUUCACCAUAAUUCAUCAAUUAUUUAUUUCCUUCCAUUAAUAAAUUAUUUAAAAUAUUUAUUUAAUUCAAUAAAUAUUUAAAUUAAAUUACAAAUUUCUCGAUCGUUACAGGAAUACUCAAUACUCAGACAAUGACAUUCUCCCCCAAAUCACUCAUGGAUGAAAGGAUUGCAUGAAGGAUAAGGGGGACUUGGUAAUUGGUUGGUGAUUGGCAUCAUUGUGCCCACUCCCUCCAUGAUCAUAGUCUAGCAAAGCUUGGAAGAAAAAUGAAGAACAUAGGCCUAAGCCUUUUGUUCAAACACGUGACUGAGAAUUUAGAAGCAAAUGGGACUCUCAAUUUGGGACAAUCUAAUAUAACUCAGCAUUCUUGUAUACUCUUACACACUCUCACUCUUAUGUUAUAUUUUAAUACACAUAUCAACCAUAUAUUAUAACCUAAUGUCACAAUAUGACUUAACAUUUCAAGGUAGUAGAUGUUAUGCAACAUACAUAUAAUUCAUGUACAUUCUAUUUUAAUGUCUACCCACAUGUAUAUGGCUACUUACACAUUUCAUGAUAUAUUUAUACUAUAUAGUUUCAAUAUGCAUAAUCAUAUUAAUUGCUUCAUUCAUAAAACUUAAUAUAUAGUUACGUAAUGUCACACUACACUAUAUAGUAUAGUUGUAUUAUUGCUCACAUACACAUAACUGUCAAUAUAAUAUUAUUAUAUUAAUAACUUACUUAUUUAUGUCAAGUAAAUAAAUGAUUCCCUUCCUUGAUUAAUUACCACCAAUAUUAAUUAAUCCAUUUAUUAUUGAUGAAAUUAUGGAUUUUCAUAACCAUUAACUAUCGAUGAAAUUCUUAUUAUAUUUAUAGAUAUAUUGCAAAUAAUAAUAAUCAUAUUAUAAAUUAAUUACCAAGUAAUCAAUAUUCUACCGCAAUUAAUUAAUAUUAAUUAAUGGUUUACCAAUUCCGUUGUCGGACACAACAUACUUUAUUUCAUUGAAAUACACUCCUAUCAUAUGGUUUUAUUUAUGUCACACAUAUAACAUUAAUGUCCCAAUACAGUGCUACAGUAGAAAGUAACCAACUCCAACUGACUACUGGCGCAGCUGCGCCAGUUUGUACUACUGGAACGGCGCAGCUGCGUCGUGCCCUGACAGUGCCAAGACUAGUUUAGCUUCAGCUCGUGUCAAUCUUCAUCGCCAAACUCGUUAUAUAUGACAUGAAUUGAUGUCCACAAAGUGUUACUAUAAGUUUACGAGCGUAUUUGAUUACUUAUAUGAUAUCACACGUUCAACGCGAUUAUACUUCCAAAUUCCCAUUUUAAUUUGCUUAAUGGAUUUCCUCGUUUCAUGAUAUGUCACACAAGGCAUUCCACAAUCCUCAUUAUCAAAUCACGCUUCUUAAUACGCAUUGACCUAGCACGAAUCAAUUGUAUUAACCAACUCAUAAAACAAUAACACUUAUAUUCACAUAAAUAGUAUUUCCAUUAAUAUAUUCAUUUUAUAAUACGUAGAAAUUCUCGGGUAUUACAUCCUCCCCCACCCCUUAUAAAAAUUUCGUCCCGGAAUUGCUACAAGGUUAUACAAAUAGAUGGGGAUAAUCCCUCAUCAUCCUAUCUUCUAACUCCCACAUAGCCUCCUCGACAUCGUGGUUAUGCCAAAGUACUUUUACAGAAGAAAUGACUUAAUUUCUCAAGUUUUGUUCUUUCCUAUCAAGAAUUUGGACAGAAAUUUCUUUGUACGCUAAAUUCUUCUCCACUUGAAUGGGUUCAUAAGAAAUCAUGUGCUUGUAGUCAGGCUUGUACAGACACAACACGGAUAUAUGAAACACGUUAUGGAUGUGCUCCAACUCAGAUGGUAGUGCAACUUUGUAUGCUACUUCGCCCACUCGCUUUAGUAUCUCGAACGGCCCUAUGAAUCUUGGACUCAGUUUCCCUUUCUUGCUGAAAUAGAUCCUUCCAUGGAGAUACCUUCAAGAAUACAAAACUGCCGAUUUCAAAAUCUCGGUCUUGCCGAUGCAAAGCUGCAUACUUCUUCUGACGAUCUUGAGCUGCCACUAGUCUAGCCCUUAUCACUGUCACCACAUCCGCGGUUUGUUGUACUAACUCUGGUCCGAGUAUUCGUCGUUCCCCGACUUCAUCCCAACAUAAUGGCGUUCUGCACUUCCUCCUGUAAAGAGCUUAGUACAGUGGCAUGACGAUACUCGUAUGGUAACUAUUAUUAUACGCAAAUUCAACUAAGGGUAGGUGGUCGUCCCAAUUCCCCUUGAAGUCCAUCACACAAGUUCUAAGCAUAUCCUCUAGCGUUCGUAUUGUUCGCUCACUUUGUCCGUCUGUCUGAGGAUGAUAAGCAGUACUUAACCUUAACUGUGUUCCCAUCCUCUCUUGCAAGCUUUUUUAGAAUUUUAACGUGAAACGCGGGUCUCGGUCAGAAACAAUCGAUACCAGCACUCCAUGUCGUGAAACAAUCUCCUUUACGUACAGACUCGCUAACUGAUUCAAACAGUAGCGGAUCUUGAUCGGUAGAAAAUGUGCUGUAACGCCCCCCAAAAUCGGGACUAUUUUCCUUCCCGAUCUUGUGCGUUAAUAUUAUCCUGUUCUAGCUUUAAAACAUUAUUUAAUGUUAAAAUAGUUAAAAAUGCGGAAUAAUUUUUUUUUCUUUCUUUCCAUUCAUUCAUUCCCUAAAUCGCAACCUUUACAAUUCUUCUUUAUACUAGAAUCAUAUUUAUUACAUGAUUUAUUUAACCUGAGUAGAUAUGGAUAUAUGUACAAUUCAUUAUUUCAAACAUAUUCCUAAUUCAGAACAAAUGAUCUUCAUCUAUUGAAUUAUUCAAAGAUUUACUUCUUUGUGGUUUACACAUGUAAAUACCAUCAAAUGAUUCAACACCAUCUCAAUUAAAUCACUAGUCUUCUUUUCAUGCGCUCCUAAUCACGAUCAUAGCUUUAACCUGCAAAUUAAGCAAGAUUGAGCACGGCGGCCCAGCAAGUCUAACAGUCUAUCAUGCAUCACAUAUCACAUAUGUUCACAUUCAGUUCAUGCAUUUAUAUUCUUGGGGUUCAAGCAUAUUACAAAUGCAUCAUCACAUUUAUAUCCUGCUGGUAGCAACAUAAAUAUCAUAGCAUACUACACAUGUCAUGUACAUGUCAUUCAUUGCACAUAUAUAUUGAGUUCCCCGACUCAAUUCAAUAAUUAGUCAUAAUUUGACAUUCAUCAUUCACAAAGCAAAUAAUGUAGUUCAUAGGUAUUACAUACUUAUAAACAUAAAUCAUACUAACAGUUAAUCAUAGCAAUUAUAAGUUCACAUAAAUAAACUGAGAAACUUGCCUUGUUCAAUGACUAUUGAUACAAACUUUAGUUUAACUUCACUUCACGAAUCCUACACAGUUAUGUUCACAUGUAUGCAUACAUUAGUCACACAUUCAUAUCCCAUAACCUGUAUAGCUAACAAACAUUCACAAAAACUAUAUCAAUAUCUGAUAUUCUUAUUUCUGAGAAACUUCCAUAUUCCUUUAAAAUAUUUUAGGUUUCGACUUAAUAUAGCCAUACAUUCUCAAAAAGUUCUAACACAACUUUUAAAAUGUCAAUUCAUUACAUUUACAAUUUAUAACCCUUUUUAAAAGUAUUUACAGACUUUACACGCAUUUAUAUGUAGACUUGUUGUCAUAUAGUGCAUCUGUGCCUUUACUAUGCGUAAUUAUGGCUUAUUUCCGCUUUUGUGAGUAAUUUAAAUGCUAUUCCAUACGAAUAUUAGUUUUCUAGGCUUAAUGCAUUCAUAAUACAUUACUUUUCCCCCUUUCAUGUACACAUGAGGUAUAUAUAUGCUUUUGCAUAUACGCCUCUCUUCUAAUGUCAAACCUUGCCUCAUUUGCUUGGCUUGUAGGGUAGACAUAUGCUAUGUGUAUGUCUUUUACCUACACAUAGCUUAUUUAUGUCAAAAGUUGAGUUUUCAACUCCGUUUGCAUAAUCAUCGCCUUGUAUUUUGAAAACCGUUUAGUUUCAAGUACAAUUUUAAAAUAACUUUGCACACUGUCCACGUAUUCCUGAUAUAUGGAUAUAUUAUCCAUAUAUAUGUAAACUCAUGUUUACAUAUCGUUUUUAUAGAUUUUGGAAUGCUCUGAAUGCAUAUACUUGUCAUAUGGUUGUUAGACUGUGUUUUAUAUCUGUCUUGGGGCAUCAGGACAUGCCUAACUUCUUUUUCCAACUUUUAAUAAUUAUAAUUACAUAUAAAAACAUAUUAGUUGUGCGUCCAUGUCAUAUAACCUGUAUAGUUAUAUAUAUUACAUUUCCAUAUUGGCCAUAUCAAUAGCUUUCAUUCUUGUUUUUGAAAAACUCUUAUAUUCUCUUCAAAAACUUUUAUUCUUUUACUUACGAUAGUCAUUUAUCGCUUAAUAGUCUUUGACAUGGCUUUUAAAUAUUCUAUGAUUUUGGUUUAUAAACCAUUUGUAAUUUAUUACAUAGUUAUCUCGCACUUUUAUACAUAUUCUAAGUAUAUAAAGUGAACUUGUAGUUUCCUUUAUACUUUGAGCAUAGAUAUAGUCUAUAUAGAUAAAUUAUAGCUUCCAUACUAUUUUAUAGACUCAUUUCCAUAAACUAUCGCAUUAAAAACCACCGCGUUUCAUUGGAACGCCGAAACAGCCCAUUGACCCAAUAAUGCCGACAACCAAGCCUUACUUGAUUGGGCAGCCCCAAGCUCACGACACCUACCUUUACUAAUUUUUUUAUCUUCUAAACUACCAACUCAAUUGUAUUGAAUUGUAAAUACUUUAUAACUCAUGUACUUGUUUCUUUAGGAAUUUAGAAACUAAAAUUGAUGGAUGAUUUAUCCACUUAAAUCGCAAAAGCCAAAAUAGCUCAUCAAAUAGCCACAACUGAUGUGUUACAGCUGACUGCUGCUGCCGUUGGGCAGCAGCUCCCUCCUUCUUGACUCUCGUUUCGCUAAUUUCUAUCCUCCGUUAAUGAUCCGUUUAUAUUGAAGUUUGGAUGUAAUAUAGGUGGUAUACCCACCUAUUUUAGAAAAAUACUGACUGUAUGAUUUGAGCAACUAAACAACGAAAGAACAAGCUAAAACAAUCCCAGCAAAUUGCAGCAGCACGGCGUAGCACCGUGCGCGCGCACCUGCACAUAGCUGCUGAUGGGCUGCCUUGCAGUCUUCAUGACUAACACAACCCCUUUGCGAUUUUAUUAUGUCCAGCUCGCACGUCGGAUAGCUACCAAAUUUUAAUAUGAUUUAGAUUCCAUAGAAGGCUAUUUUUAAAAAAUACGAGUCCCCCAUUUCAGACUCUUUAAGCUGCUCAAAACAGACUCCAAAACUGGCUUGACACACUAGUUUUUAAUUUUUUCCAGCUUUACCCUCUCUCGCUAAAAUAGUCAUAACUAAUUCGUUUUAAAACAUUUUUGAGUGAUUCUUGCGCCCACGCGAAGCUAACUUCCGGGGCUACGACUCUUAUUCAAUAAACUUUUCCAUGUUCUGCACCCAUAAUUCCAGAAAAUCCGCGCAAGGGACAGGUUCAAACCUGAUUUCUAAAUUUUGGACAGAUUCGACACACUCACUUUGGAAUGCCAUAACUCCCUCCUCCGAAGUCGGAAUUAUUCCGUUUCGGAGUCUAUGGAAAGCUUAUUCAACGUACUAUAAUACCCCAAAAGCCCAGAAUUUUCUGGAAACUCUAGCUAGCCCCGAAUUUGUCCUUAGGGUCAACAGUUCACAAUUUUUUUCGGUUUCUAACAUGUUUUACUAAAGCCUUUACUAUAAAUUCGUUUUAGUUCCUUUUUGAUUCAUUCCAAUUGGAUUAUUUCCAGAACUCGUAGGAGCACAACCCACCAUUAUAAAACUUAAAUUUUCAAUUCUAUACCCUCAUAAACUUUGGCUCAAGAACAGCCCCCUAAAACAGUUUUAACUAAUUUGUUUUACAUGUUUUACUAAGAAAUCCGUCAAGAUUUCGUUACAACGGAUUUUUCCCUCGUUCCAAUUGGGUUGUGUUCAUAACUCAUAAGAGUACCACACAUUAUCCCAGAACUUAAUUUUUCAGUUUCAGAGCGCAACACAAAUUGGUCCAAAAUAGUCCACUAGUUGUCCAAUUUAAGCUUAUUAGUCUCUAAGAGGCCUUAAAGCAAACACCAUAUGUGCAUCAGUUUUAGAAACAAGUUUCACACGUUUGUACAUGGUUUUACCCCAAAAAUUUCUUUCUUUAUAAUUCCUAAUGACCUGCAUAAAGUCCCUUAACCAACACAGCUCAACCAAAACCAACAUAACAGUUUUAUCAUCAUUCACAUAUGUAUUUACUAACUUCAUAUAAAUAUAGCAUGAACAUAUGGCUUACCUUGCUUACUUAAUGUUCAUGUUGAAAUUCUAGCUUUGAUGAUCAAUUAUAGAAAUCCUUUUAUUGCUAUGUGCUUCAGUUCUUCUUCAAGUCAGUACAACACUUCAAUUCCUUGCUAAUUUCGUUGGGUCUAGCCAAAAUUGAGAGAAAUUUGGUGAAGGUUUGAGAAUUGUGCAAACUUAAUAGUUAGAGAAAAAGAGAGAUGAACUGGAACGAAUUGAAGAGGGAAUGAGGACUGCAAAUAGUUUUUUUUGAGUGUUUAACUCUUUCUAACUUCCUUGCUCUCCUCUCUCUUUCUCCCAUUCACGACAACAAGAAGGGAGGAGAAAGAUAAAUAACGCCCAGCUUGGUCACCAAGCUUGCAA